rnacentral:rRNA from 1 species
UUCGGUUAAUCUGUCUGCUCACGUAUGGGCUGCGGGGGAUACUGCAGAGCUAGGGAGUGGGAGAGGUAGACGGUACUCGGGAGGAAGGGGUAAAAUCCUUUGAUCUAUAUGAUGACCACCUGGGGCGAAGGCGGUCGACCAAAACACGCUCCGACGGUGAAGGGAUGAAAGCUGGGGGAGCAAACCGGAUUAAAUACCCGGGUAGUCCCAGCUGUAAACUAUGCAAACUCAGUGAAUGCAUUGGCUUGUGGCCGUGCAGUGCUGCAGGGAAGCCGUUAAGUUUGCCGCCUGGGAAGUACGUACGCAAGAUAUGAAACUUAAAGGAAUUGGCGGGGGAGCACCACAAGGGGUGAAGCCUGCGGUUCAUUUGGAGUCAACGCCAGAAAUCUUACCCGGAGAGACAGCAGAAUGAAGGUUAAGCUGAAGACUUUACCAGACAAGCUGAGAGGUGGUGCAUGGCCGUCGCCAGCUCGUGCCGUGAGAUGUUGUGUUAAGUCAGGUAACGAGCGAGAUCCCUGCCUCUAGUUGCCACCAUUACUCUCAUGAGUAGUGGGGCGAAUUAGCGGCACCGCCCGGGUAAAUGCUGGAGGA